rnacentral:lncRNA from 1 species
GGUUCUGGGCAUAAGGAUGUUCCUCCCUUUUCACUCUUUCUCUCAAGUGUUUAGGCUCGUGUUUACACUCCGGACAUCUUGAUUGGGUUCUGACCAUAAGCUUGCCUAUCUUCUAAUGUCUUCCCCUUUAGUCAAAGUCCUAGGUGCAUCUCAUUAGGUCUUUCAUGGGUUGUAAUGUGGCUCAAGGCAUAAGGUGAGAAUUUUUUGGUACGAGGCUAAGGUCAUACUGAACUUCAUUCUGAGCAACAGACUUCCCAGAUUCUUUUGAUCCUUGCCUAUUCUUGCGGGCUUAAGCACAUUUUUCCUUUUAUUCUUCCUCUUUUUUUUUUUCUUUUCUCCUUCCCUUUUUUUCUUUUUUCUUUUUUUUUUUUCUGGACUUUUUCUGUUUUGGGAUUUAGAUGUCCCAUUUUGCAAUUUCUUUGCAAUAGUCCUGCCCAUCGGAUCCACUACACUAUCUCCCUUUCUUUUGCCCUUAAGUUCAGUUUUUGACCGGGACGGCUCAAAUCUAGGCAAAUUUAUAAGUGAAUUCAAAAGAAUUAUUAAGCUCAAAAGGGGUUGCAAGUGAUAGAUGUAGGGUUGGUCAGUUUGGCUCAGUGGGCUAAAGAAAGAAUUUGCCUAAAUCAUUCAACACACCUAGACUAUGUACACAGGGUUCGACCAAGAAUCAAGGCAAGUUCUAGCAUCACCCUUAAUCAAGAUGUCAAAAUUCACACAAUGAAAGAAAGAAUUGUUUUGGGCAUAAAGUAACAAUUUUAAAAGCUCAAAUCCUCACAAGGUAUGCCCAAUUCCCUAUCCAUCGUCCUCAACUACAUACGGCACAAAGUUUGCAUAAUCUCACUCACAAAAUUGCACUUUCAAAUCAUCACAACUGAGUAACCUCGAUUGUACAGCAUGCUUGACACCAAAACUUUAAAAACAUAAAAAGAUACCGGGUCUUCCCUCCCACUCACACACUUUGCCUUAAGGCAAAGGGUGCGAGAACAAGGAUUACCCGGUAAAGCAACAACAGACGUCUUGGCCCCCCCACACACACACACUUUGCUUUGGGCAAAGUGGGUGUGUAGAGGGGGUCAAGGAAAACACAAACUAAAAACAAACUAAACAAGCAAACAACAGAAAGACACAGACUAAAACAAACAAACAGAACAAAAAACACAAACACGCAACAAAACAAACUAAAAAAAAACUAACAUCCUAGGGAGGGUAAAAUUUAAGGUGCAGGUGCAAGUGGGUACCUGAACCCUUGAUGCUUGAAGAAGGCCAGGCCUUCUUGGUCGCUGCCAGUGCUUUCUGGGUCUCCACAAUCAGGGACUCGAUUCUGUCCAGCUGACUCUCCUCUUCCUCCUUUGACUCUGACUCCUCCACUUUUUCUUCCUUUCCCACAGCGGGCUUUGGCCUUCGGCCGCUGAAAAUUCCCUCUCAUCUGGAUUGAUAAAUUUGGGCACACCCCGAUCCAUUCUGACAUCCUUCAUGCGGAUCAGGGCUUCGAUGUUUAGCUUCUCCGUCUCAAUCUUGGUGUUGGUUCUCCCUUUAUCAUUCGGAUCGGGGUCGGGUUGAUCACUUUCUUCCUCUUUUUCGCCGGAUUUUCUUCUUGCUCUUCGCCGGACUCCCCUUCCUCGCUCUGCAUCACCGAACCAGAGGGUUCGUUUCUUUCGUUGGAUGAUUCUUCGGCCGGCGUGGCCGAUUUCUCGGCCGCCGGUUUCUUCCUCUUCGGAGCAGUGGGGGUGUGCUUCUUUUUGGAUGGCUCUCCCUCGCCUUCCUUCGCCUUUUUCGGUGUCGCCUUGCCUUCUCCUUCAGCUGCAUGCUGGUCUCUGGCGCCGAGAGUAGGGACGUCUAUCUCCACCGUGAGUUGCUCAAUGGCAUGUUCGUCCACCGGCGAGGGGCUCUCAGUUUGCGGUAGGGUUUUGGAUGAGGGGGUAGGUGUAGUGUCCAUCGGAAGUGGUUUUUGGCGUGGGUUCUUGUUCGAAGCUUUUGGUUUUGACGGUGGAGGGCUUUCUCCGGUAAGAUCGAUUUCGGUCCCUUGGGGUAUUCCUCGGAGUUUGUUUUUCAGUCUGGUGGAUACCAUGGUGGCUGGGUGAUUUUGUAUUCGAAAGGCCGAGAAAGGGGGUGGUGAUUAUGAGAAGUUGGAUAGUUAGGGUGGUGACGUCGUGGUAGGGGUUUUAGGGUUUUUGGGGGUGUAGGAGCUGACAACUGUCACUUGAUGUGACGUGCGUCAGGCGGUUUCAGCGCGUUUUGCCCGAGAGCCCCCUUCUGCCCUGGAAUCAAUGCUUCUCCAAUCGACGGCUCUCUGCCCAUAACUGCUCCCCUGUAUCUGCAAAACACAUUCAAACUUCCGCGAAGGCGGGAAACUCAAACUCGCCCACAGCUGUGGGCAUAACCGGGUUCCUAGGCAAACAAAAAAAAGAAAGGAAACAAAAACUAAAAGAAAAUAAACUAAACGAAAAUACCAGGUUACCUCCUGGCCAGUGCCCUAUUUAUCGUCCUGGGCAUGACGUGAUACCUUCCAAUUAAUCCAAGGUGCUUGUGGCUGGGUCGAGAUCCAGUUCCUCCCCAGCGUCGGGCUUAUGCCCAUAAUAGGCUUUCAGCCUUUGUCCAUUCACCUUGAACACUUUCCCAGAUUUUGGAUUUCCGAUCUCAACAGCUCCAUUUGGGAAUUGGGUCUUCACCACAAAUGGGCCGGUCCACUUGGUACUCAGCUUUCCUUGUGCAAAUUUGAACCGUGUCUGGUACAGGAGAACCUCUUGCCCAAAGCUGAAUUGCUUGUUUGUGAUCAAAGCAUCGUGGCUCUUUUUCAUUCUUUCCUUGUAGAGAACAGCAUUGUCGUAUGCCUCUCUCCUGAUUUCUUCGAGCUCUUGGAUCUCUAGCUUCCUUGCUUGCCCUGCCUUGUCCCAAUCAUAGUUCACUUUAUUCACUGCCCAGAAAGCCUUGUGCUCCAAUUCCACCGGUAAAUGACACCUCUUGCCAUACACCAUUCGAUAUGGUGACAUCCCGAAUGGAGUUUUGUAUGCAGUUCGAUAUGCCCAUAAGGCAUCUUCCAGCUUAAGACUCCAGUCCUUCCCUGUGGGGCCAACGGUCUUUCGCAAAAUCGUUUUGAUUAUGCGAUUUGAGAGUUCGGCCUGUCCAUUGGCUUGUGGGUGAUAGGCUGUCGAGACCCGAUGUUGGACUCCAUACUUUUUGAACAAGUUUUCGACCGAGAAAUUGCAGAAGUGGGAUCCUUGGUCGCUGAUGAUUGCUCUGGGCACACCAAACCUGCAGAAAAUGUUAGUCUUCAAGAAAUUCACCACUACCUUUGAGUCAUUCGUCGGGGAUGCUUUUGCCUCCACCCACUUGGAGACAUAAUCCACCAAAAGUAGGAUGUACAAGUUUCCUCUUGAGCUGGGAAGGGGUCCCAUGAAGUCCAUUCCCCAAAUGUCAAAAAUCUCUACGGGCAUAAUGGGCAUCAUGGGCAUUUCAUUCCUCCUGGUUAUGUUUCCUUCUCGCUGGCAUUGUGGGCAAUUCUUGCAGAUGGUGUAGCUGUCCUUAAAGAUUGUUGGCCAAUAAAAACCACACUCCAGAACCUUGGCUGCAGUCCUCUUAUGCCCAAAGUGUCCCCCACACUCCUUUGAAUGACAAAAUUCUAGGAUGCUUCUUUGCUCAUCUUGUGGGAUACAUCUCCGAAGCAUUUGGUCCCCGCAUUGCUUCCACAUAUACGGUUCGUCCCAAAUAUAUUCUCUGCUGUCUUUGGCCAAUUUCUUCUUCUGGGCAUAAGUGUAUCCAGGGGGUACAUAUCCAGAACAUAGGUAAUUGCUCAAAUCUGCGUACCAUGGAUCUUCCCUCCUUCCUUGGGCAUAGAAUAGUUGUUCAUCCGGGAACAUCUCCUUGAUUGGUUCCCCUUCUUCCUUCCUCACGAUCCUGCUUAGAUGAUCGGCCACUUGGUUUUGUGCUCCAGCCUUGUCCUUUAUUUCCACGUCGAAUUCCUGUAGAAGUAGAACCCAUCGGAUCAGCCUGGGCUUAGACUCCUUUUUGGCCAGAAGUGUAAUACCCCGUCUCCCCGAGCUAAGUUUAGAAUAAUUUUGAACUUAGAAGUAAGAUGAUUCAUGCCGGAUAAAAGAAAAUGAAUUUAUUUUAAAUUCCAACAAAAACGAUUUACAAAAGUAUUUGUAAAUUUAGUUAUUAAAUUAUAUGCAUUGCAUAUUAUAUUGUGUUCAAGUAUUUGAAAAUACGGUGAGCUUAUCAACUAGCAAAACCGAAAAGAAUCUCUUUUACAGAUAUACAAAGGAUUUAAUUACAUUCAUAUUACAAUUUUACUACAAGCCUACACUAUUGCAUAAAGUAUGAAAGCAAUACAUAUAUACUUAUUCAUACAUACACAUACACGCAUGUGUUAGUACAAAAGACAUCCCCAAAUCUUCAUACAUCCGCUGCCACCCUUAUCCUGCAGCUCCCUUUUUCCUUUCAAGAAAAGUCAAGUUCAUAGUACACUAGCUUGUCAACUCAGCGACCCUACACUCCACCUGCAGCCCCUCCUUGCUUGUCAUAGGAGAGGUAGCUGCCAAUAUCCCACUUUAAACCAAAUCAGCUAGCAAUUUCCUUCACCAUUGUACACUAACUCCACGAGGAGAACUUCACCCAUUUCUGCAAGCAUCCAAGGUAGUCCUUGCCUCAAUCUUCUCCAUUUCUCUACAAGUUUCUUCCUGCAUUCACCAAAGAGCAACGUGACUUCAUUUCAGUAAAUUCUCAUUCGCCAUCCUCACCACCGGAGGUAAAAGAAGCAGAGAAAAACCAACAAACACCUACAUCUAUUUCGUUCUGCAUAUGAUUUAAACACCUCUCAAAUCUUAUUUCAGCAAACCACACGAGUUUAUACACGUUGUUAAGCAGUAGAUUCAUGACAUAUCAUAUGAGCAUAACCAUCUCAUCAUUUCUGUAUAUCUAUGUAUAUUUUUUGAAUGGGAGCUAUACUACUCUGUUAUACAAGUUUGAAUGAUUUAAAGAAAGUAUUUUUAUGAGUUUACUUUCAACUUUGGGCUGCUGUGUCGAGAGGUGGAGGGAGGUCAGGACGGCGGCGGCAGUCUGCUCCAUCUACUGCUGUCGGUCGAAGUGAGCAGAGGGUAGAGGGAGAUGGGCGACUGCUUCGAUGGGUGUGCGUGUGAGUCUUGACCUUGGCUGUUGUCGGAGAAGGAGAGAACAAGGGUUGGGGCGGUGACUAGAUUAGGCUAGGUUUUCGCAGAGGGAGGCCAGGGCGCGGCGGCCCUGCCGCUGUCGCUCGGCCACGGACGGAGGGAGAGAAGAGAGGAGGCUAAGGGCGACUGGAUUGGGGUGGUUAGGGUUCAGGCGCAGCAACGGCAUGUCGCCACUGUAGUCGCCGGAAGAGAGAAGAAUAGAGGGACUAAGGUUCCGAUCAGUCGAGGGUGAUGGUGAGGAUGACCGGAGACGGCGCUCUUCGUCAGAGAUGGGCCGCGACGGCCGUGAGUUCGGGAGAGAGAGAGAGACGAACGGAUCUUGGGGGAGAAGGGGGCGGAUUUCUGGGUAAGAGAGGACGAACGGCUUCUUUGAAUGGGGUGGAAGGAUUGGGCCAUUUUUUUUCCAAAUGGGCUCAGUUUAUUUAAAAGGAUGUUGGGCCUUCAUUUAUUUAAAAUUAUGGGCUGCCUCCUAUUAAUUAAUUGAACUAUUAAUUGGUUUAAUUUAUUUAUUUAAAGAGUAAUUUGCAUAAUAAUAUUACCUUAUUAUUAUGUGCAUAUUUUAAGUAGUUACUUAUUAUAUGAUUAAAGUAUAACAUGAGUUGUGCAUUUGCAUCAUGAUUUAAUUGGUUUAUUUAUAAAUCCAAUUAUUUAAGAAAAUCGAGUAAGGAUAUUGUUGGUGUCCUUAACUCAAGGAUUUAGUUUUCAAUUAUUUAUUUACUAAAUUUUGGAAACCCGGCGUGAUGAAUCAAGUAUGUUUAGUACAUCCACUAAGACAUUAAGAUUAGUUUCAUGAGACCUAUAAGGAUAGAACUUCUUGUAGGCUUUGUGGACCAAGGGGAUUAGCACUGCUUUCCCAAGACGAGUUUAUGUGAUUAUGAUCUUCAGGCUUUGCCUAACCAGGUGGGCUUACUUUCCAAAUGUAUAAAGUAUGAUUGAGUUAUUAAGCUCUAAAUGUUUCAAUGUAAUGCAAACUGUUUAUUUAAUUAAAUGCAAACUGUUUAUCCAAUAAAAUAUUUUGUGCACUCUGCUCUGUUUAAGGCUCGCAAAGUUAAUCAAUUGAGGUUCUCUUAUGACCUAACACGUUGUCUGAGAAUCGUGUACACAUGCUAGUUGACCUGGUGGGUUGAUCUCCAUCGGGCACUGGCCAGAGGCGUUAUAAGGGUGCUCGACGGGAUGUGUUCCGGAGCAUGUAUCAUGUAAGGCCUGCCUGGGUAGCGUCCCGAGGUCAAUUCAACUUGUCUGAGUUACGUCCUCAGGGCAAGUGCAAUGGGAGAAAUGGAUCCGUCGGUGGCUAAAAGGUCCGGGAUCACAGCGAGUAACGGAAAGGGAGUGUGACAUGUGCGCACAAAUGAAAAAUGUUUUAACAUGCUUAGAAGUUCUUUCAAUUUAAAACCUUCUAAGUCAUGUCAAGUAUGAUUGGAUAAACUAUCUUUAUUAAAAUAUGAAAUGUUUAUGAAAAUGCAUGCCCACUAAGUACAUUAGUACUUAGCCCAAAAAUACUUUCAAAUGUUUUCAGGUUGGUUGGCUGGUGCUGACGGGACGGAGCUGAGGCUAGGGUUAAUUUCCUAUGUUAGACUUCCGCUGUAGUAAUUACUCAUAUCCGUCUUUUGUUUUCCCAACUUGAGAUCUUCAUGUUAAAUGUCAAAUGAUAUACCUGACCGAGCUUAGACUCUUCACUACUAAAUUUAUGCUAAUGAAUGUCGGUUGUCAGAAGCAUGAAACAAAACUUGUGAUCCAAAGGGGCAUAGCCCGACUUUCUAUCAUAUUUCGGUUUUAACAAGGUUUUUCCCUUGUUUAUUUCUAUGAAUUAUUCACACCUCGAUUAUAUUUAUUCCUUCAAGAAUUGGGGUGUGACAAGAAGGUACUUCAGGGCCGCAUGAUCGGUGUAGACUGUGGUCUUUCCUCCAAGCAGGUAAGACCUGAAUUUUUCAAAGGCGAACACCACUGCCAACAUCUCCUUCUCAGUCGUUGAAUAAUUGACUUGAGUUUCGUUCAGUGUCUUCGAGGCAUAAUAGAUGACGUGACUCUCCUUCCCC